rnacentral:lncRNA from 1 species
AUAGGAAACAAAAAAAAAAAAAAAAUGAGAAAGAAGAAGAAGAAGAAGUGAAAGAGAAAGAAAGAGAAAAGAAGAAGAAAUUUGGGUUUUUGAGCUUUGAUUUCUAUAUUUCUCCAAUCUCUCCAUUGAUUUCAAGGUAAGUGUAAGUAUGUUGAAUUAUAUUUUUGAGUUUACGGAAAAAUUUCUCAGAUUUAAGGUUUAGCAAAAAUUAAUGAUUAUUGAUAUAUAUUUGAGAUAUCAAACAAAAAGAAUAAUAUUAGUGUUAAAAGAAAUGAAAGGUGAAAUGGGUUUGUAAAUUAGAGUUUCAAUCUUUAAUUUAUUGUGUUUAUAUGAUAUAAAACACUUGAUUUAUGAGGUAUUAGAGUGGUUAAAUGAUUCUGGGUUAUAUUUUGAUAUUUAUAAUUAAUUUUAGUGCAAAAUUCAUGUGCAGGUGCUAUUCUGAAACUAAUUCGAGAAAGUGCUAUUUCUGUCAAUAGAUUCGGUGACACUUAUCAAUACAUAGAAAUCGGUGCCAGAUUACAAUACUCUGAGAUUUUAGCGCUGUUUUUGUCAGACCUUUAAUUUCUCAGAUUUUAUAAGUUUGAAUAAAACUAAAUGAUAAAUAUUGGAGUCUAGUUAUUGGAUUAAAUCAUGCAUAUGGGUUGUAUGAGUAGAAGGCAAUGAUUUUAAGAAAGUAUUGAGUAAUCUAAGAAAGCAUCGAGUAAUCUAAUGGUUGCCAAUAAUCAAAGAGAAAAUAAGUUAGAGAAAUAGAGAUGCAAGAAUAAACAUAGAAAUUGAGGAUUUACACGGUGGAUUUACAUUAAUUUAAUUAUCAUGUUUUAAUUUGAGUAAUUAUAAUAUUAUUUCAGGUAGUGACGUAAAAGAUUGGAAAGUCUCUUCAAUAUAACCAAAUGUUUAUCCAUAGAUCUAGGAGUGGAAAAAACUUUAAUAUUUUCAAAAUAUUUAUAAAUUAAGUAUAUUAUUAAAUUAUGUGCAACUAUGUAAAUUAUUUGUUCAAUAAUGUGAUUACCAUGAAAGUUUCUUUUACUGUGAUACAUGCGAAAUUUCAAAGAUCAUAUAUAGUACAUUUGUGAAUUGGAAUAUGAGACAUGAUAAUGAGAUUGAUCAGAAAAGUAUCCAUGAUUAUAUACUUCUUCUAGUUCAUCGGGGGGUCUUGGCCGUGUUUUAUACUACAUUGAGGGGUCUUGGACCGCUGAUGAAGGGAUCUUGACCGUGUACAUAUAGUUCACUGAGGGGCAUUGAUUGUAUUCUAGAAUUGAUUAUCAGAUGUCUUCGAGAUCCGCUUUUGUUCAUGAAGGAGGCCAAAGCUCGUGGCGAAAAUGCUUAGCUCAAGGGGCGGAUUGCAGAUUUUAGUUAAAGGAUACAUUUUUUGUGGACUAUGUGUAAUGUGAUUAGAUGAUAAUAUGGAUUUGAGUUGAUGAAUAUAUCAUUACUAUGAGGUGAUAUCUUUUAGCAUUAUGAGAUGUCUCAUAUCUUGAUUAUUAUUACCUGUUGCUAUACUUUGAACUGCAAAAUAAUAUGAAUUCAAUUUUUGAUAGAUAUGUAUAAAUGAGAAAGGACAACUAUUUUUGAAAAUUUUCACUCAUUGAGCUAUCAAGUCAUAUAUUUUUCCACGUUUUUUCUUUCCAGGUAGCAAUCGAGUUUGGGGAGCUUUGAAGAGCCUGUUGAUUUAGUAGUCAUCGCCACAUGAUCAUUUCGUUGAGUUAAGCAUUAAAAAAAAAAAAUUAUCUCAAGCCCAUUGCAUUAUUCAUUUUUCAUAAGUAUCUUAUUUUGGAUCAUAAUUAGUAGUGACUCAUAGUUAGCAUUGGUGAUGGAUUUGACAUAUAGUUAGUGUAUAUCAUUGGUACACGUCACAUUUCGGGUUCACUCGAAUGAUUCGGGACAGGUAUAUAUAUAUAUAUAUAUA